UACGUAGGGGGCGAGCGUUAUCCGGAGUGACUGGGCGUAAAGAGUUGCGUAGGCGGUUAGUAAAGUGAAUAGUGAAAUCUGGUGGCUCAACCAUACAGGCUAUUAUUCAAACUCACUAACUCGAGAGUGAUAGAGGUAACUGGAAUUUCUUGUGUAGGAGUGAAAUCCGUAGAUAUAAGAAGGAACACCAAUGGCGUAGGCAGGUUACUGGAUCAUUUCUGACGCUAAGGCACGAAAGCGUGGGGAGCGAACCGG
rnacentral:misc_RNA from 1 species